AUCAUUAUCCUUUAAUGUGUAGUUUUUUUCAAAUCCUUAUUUGGAUAAUUCGGCUAGACGAAAAUCCCUUGAAUUAAGAAAAUUGAAAUUGCAGAAGCCCCAAAUCUUCGAGCAAAUUGGAAAGUGAGGAGGAAAUGGAAGGCAGCGAGAGCGAGAAAGAGUUCGAUUCAUUGAACCUAAAUCCGAAACUCUUCGUCAACGAGGCCCUCAAUAUUGUAGACGAGUUAGUUGACGAUGCUUUUGAUUUCUUCCACCAAGAGGCAGCAAAUCUUCUGAAAACUGAAGGCACUAAUCGAUCGGAAGAUCUAAAAGAGGGUGUGGCUGAAAUUAAGUAAAUGAUCCAAUUGACUCUGGACAAGCGGUUGAGUUUAUGGGAGAAGUACUGUUUGCACAACUGCUUUAAGGUUCCGCAUGGGUUCUCUUUGCCUAAAGCUGAUGGACCGUCUGGUGACACUUCAUUUGAUAUUAAUGCUGUUGAGAAUCCUGAACUAGAUGAAAAGUUGGAUUUCUUAAGGAACAAGAUUUCUGAGAGUCUGCUGAGCUCAACAGAGAACUACAAGCUCUCGAAAGGCAGUCCAUGUUAAGUGACCACUCUGCUGCUUCUCUUACUGAAGCGUUGGAGUUGUAUCAGCAACUGGCAGCGGAUGAGAAGUUUGAAGAACUGGUACGAACUGCAUCAGAUUUUCAAACCAAAGUGGAGAAUUUGGCAACCAGAAUGGUGGAGGACACUGAGCACCGAAGAGCAAAAAAAAUUCGCACUUCAAAUGGGGAAAUGUUUAGAUUGAACAAUGAUGAAGGCCUACUGAGUGCGACACUGGAGGAACUUCAAGUAUUUGGGGAUGAUAUAAAGACUCUUCGUGACUAAACGGUGGCUUAAUUUACUGAUGCUGUGAAGAAGUGUUCUUGUAGGUUCUUAGUAAUGUAAGAAUUUUUCUCUAGUUAAUUGAAAAUGCUGAGGCCUCAGAAAACCUAUAGUAAUGUUAGGAGGAAUUUCUUCAGUUGAAGGCCUUGGCUUUCUAGUUGAAGUCUGAUUUAGUCAUCAAACCAAACUCUAAAACACCUUGCUAGGAUGUUAUUUUGCCAGAAGUAUUGUCUGCACUUAUUGAAGUUAGUAUCUCCCUUCCUGCAUCUUAUAGGACCAGUAUGAAGAGAUUGAUAUGAUAACAAAGGGUGGAAACUAUGGUUGGUCCAUCUACGAAGGCCCUUAUCCCUACAAACCAAGCAAUGCCACAAAAGAAAGCACUUGUUCUAGCUCCAAUAGUCUCAUAUUCACAGUCAGGGGAUACAACCACUCUGAAGCUGAUAAGACUAUUGGUUCUGCUUCCAUAACUGGUGGCUACUUCUGUAGGUCUCAAAUUGAUCCCUGUCUUUAUGGAAGGUACUUGUACAUAGACUUACAUCCAGAUGGAAUAUGGUCAGGUACUGAAAAUCCUGAAAAUAGUAGAAAUUUCACAAGUUCAAAAAUCCAAUAUAGGUGCGUGCAAGAUUCUCCAAUACAUUGUGAGUCAAUUGCAGAGGGUAUUAUGCCUGCUAUAGGAUACGUUUUCUCCUUAGGGGAAGACAGUAGAAAAGACAUUUAUAUAUUGACAAGCACAGGCGUCUACAGAGUUGCACGUACAAGCAGGUGUAGUUACCAUUGUUCCAAAGAAAAAUUAGUAACCAGUAAACCUCCUCCUGCUGCUUCAUUGUCUGGAGAAUUAUGGAAGGGCGUAAAACACCCUGCCCUUUGCAUUUCUUCCAUUGUGCUACUUCUAUUGAAUCUUGCUUUCUAAGCCUUGAAAUGGGGAUAGGUAAUCUUGCUGUUAAUAAUUACCUAACAAGUUGCAAAAUCUGUGCCUUUUUUCCUCUCUUCUGUUUUUGCUGUUUUUAAUAUACACUAUUUGACAUUGCUUUAAAGUUUAUA